UGUAAAUAACAAAACAGAAGUAAACUGAAUAUCUGCUAAUGUUUGUCAAUGAGAAACUUGUUAACUGAUGAAGAAAAAGAAAAAAGAAAAGGGGGUUUCUGAUCCAAUAUCUUGUGUGUGUGUGUGUGUGUGUGUGUGUGUGUGUGUGGUGCUGGGAGAUCCAA
rnacentral:sRNA from 1 species